rnacentral:rRNA from 1 species
GACAGAGGGUGCAAACGUUGUUCGGAAUUACUGGGCGUAAAGCGCGUGUAGGCGGCUGCGCAAGUCGGGUGUGAAAGCCCUGGGCUCAACCCAGGAAGUGCACUCGAAACUGCGUAGCUGGAGUCUCGGAGAGGGAGGCGGAAUUCUGGGUGUAGAGGUGAAAUUCGUAGAUAUCCAGAGGAACACCGGUGGCGAAGGCGGCCUCCUGGACGAGAACUGACGCUGAGACGCGAAAGCGUGGGGAGCAAACAGGAUUAGAUACCCCCGUAGUCC